GGUCUUGUAGUGUAGUGGUUAUCACUCGGGAUUUUGACUGCUUCUGGAUUAAUCUGGAAUCUCAAAUUUCCCGAAACCCAGGUUCGAACCCUGGCAAGACCU